GAUGAAGAACGUAGCGAAAUGCGAUAAGUAGUGUGAAUUGCAGAAUUCAGUGAAUCAUCGAAUCUUUGAACGCACAUUGCGCCCUUUGGUAUUCCAAAGGGCAUGCCUGUUCGAGCGUCAUUUGUACCCUCAAGCUUUGCUUGGUGUUGGGCGUCUUGUCUCUAGCUUUGCUGGAGACUCGCCUUAAAGUAAUUGGCAGCCGGCCUACUGGUUUCGGAGCGCAGCACAAGUCGCACUCUCUAUCAGCAAAGGUCUAGCAUCCAUUAAGCCUUUUUUUCAACUUUUGACCUCGGAUCAGGUAGGGAUACCCGCUGAACUUAAGCAUAUCCAAUAAGCGGAGGA
rnacentral:misc_RNA from 1 species